CGAUUGGAGUUAUGCUUCUAAUGAUGAACUACUUUAAGGAAAAGAAGGAGUUCAUCUUGAUGCUAGCAGAUGUAUGUGCGACAGCAAAAUUCAGUCGAGAAUGAUCUGGAUCUUCCAGUGACCCCCGAUUGAUCAUGAUAGGGAAUACUUUACUGGAAUCAUUCAAAUGGAUGGUUACAAUUGAGGGGAAGGUAGCCAUUCAGUUGGAAGAGAACCUCAACUUUGUUGAUGCACUGUCGGCAUACUUCGCCAGCUACUAUGUCUUCAACUUAGAAUAUGAGGAGCCAGCAUGUGCAACUCUGGAGUUGAUACAGAGAUUCUUCUUAUUCUUCGCAAGACUGGACAGACAGUGAAACGAAAGGCAGAAACCAUCAGCAGCCGAGUGGUGUCAUUCAUCUCAAAGCUUACCGAGUUUGAGGGGAUGAACAGCGACUAGUAUCCAUGGAUUCUCCACGCUGCCUGACUUGUCUCUAUUGUUGCUGCUUGUAAGUUUGAUCG